AUACGGAGGAUGCAAGCGUUAUCCGGAUUUAUUGGGUUUAAAGGGUGCGUAGGCGGUUUGCUAAGCAGGAGGUGAAAUGCCGGCGCUCAACGUCGGAAGUGCCUCCCGAACUGGUGGACUUGAAUGACUCUGCCGUGGGAGGAAUGUGUAGUGUAGCGGUGAAAUGCUUGGAGAUUACACAGAACACCGAUUGCGAAGGCAUCUCACGAAGGGUUGAUUGACGCUGAGGCACGAAAGCGUGGGGAUCAAACAGGAUUAGAUACCCUGGUAGUCCACGCAGUAAACGAUGAUGGCUAACCGCUGGGCUUAUCAGUUCAGUGGCCAAGCGAAAGCGAUAAGCCAUCCACCUGGGGAGUACGACCGCAAGGUUGAAACUCAAAUGAAUUGACGGGG
rnacentral:rRNA from 1 species